AUUGAACGCUGGCGGCAGGCCUAACACAUGCAAGUCGAGCGAGCGGCGGACGGGUGAGUAAUGUAUGGGGACUGCCCGAUAGAGGGGGAUAACUACUGGAAACGGUAGCUAAUACCGCAUACUAUCGGAUAACCCAUAUGGGAUUAGCUAGUAGGUGAGGUAAUGGCUCACCUAGGCGACGAGCCCUCGCUGGGCUGAGAGGAUGAUCAGCCACACUGGGACUGAGACGGGGCCCAGACUCCUACGGAGGCAGCAGAGGGGAAUAUGGCACAGUGGGCGCAAGCCUGAGGCAGCCAUGCCGCGUGUAUGAAGGAGGCCCUAGGGGUGGAAAGUACUUUCAGUCGGGAGGCGUUACCGACAGAAGAAGCACCGGCUAACUCCGUGCCAGCCGCCGCGGUAAUUC
rnacentral:rRNA from 1 species